CAUCAUACCUUGCACAAAAGAAUAUGACUUACUCGCCAUAAUUGGCUUGGCUACCCAAUUUUCUCGCCCUUUUGGGAACACGAUAUUAUAUCGCUCUUCCCCUUGCUGCUUUCCACAUUGAACUUAUGCUUGUUUUCUGCCAGUAUUUACAUUGUGGUCUAUCACUGCCAACUUGGUUCUUGCAAGCAUACCUUUGUACGAAAAGGAAAGACGUUUGGAAAGACGACCAUUCGCGUACUUUUUAAAGUAUUUUCUCUCCUUCCACUUGUGCUUAUUGACAUCAACAUCAGUCGUAUCCUGCAUAUGCUAAAUAUUGGAGGAGUCUCGAGGCUCAUUAUUACACUGUUCUAACAAGCUCCACACUUCCUACAUAGAAUAUAUAUUGAAACAUCUAAGUAUAUAAUGCAAGGACAACGGUGUUUAAAUUUUGUGAAUUAAAAAGUACAGUACCUGU